GACAGAGGUCCCGAGCGUUAGGCGGAAUCACUGGGCUUAAAGCGUGUGUAGGCGGAUUUGUAAGUACCUUGUGAAAUCCCACGGCUUAACCGUGGAACGGCUGGGUAUACUGCGAAUCUUGGGCCAUCUAGGGGCUACUGGAACAAACGGUGGAGCGGUGAAAUGCGUAGAUAUCGGGAGGAACACCAGUGGCGAAGGCGACUUCCUGGCCUGUUCUUGACGCUGAGGCGCGAAAGCUAGGGGAGCAAACGGG
rnacentral:rRNA from 1 species